rnacentral:lncRNA from 1 species
ACGCAGCGGCGGAGGAGGAGCUCCGCCUCGGGGACACGCCCGAGCAGCUCCCCCUCAACGACGCAGCGGCGGAGGAGGAGCUCGGCGUCGGGGACGCGCCCGAGCAGCUCCCCCUCAACGACGCAGCGGCGGAGGAGGAGCUCCGCCUCGGGACGCGCCCGAGCAGGUCCGCUGAAGACGCGGCGGAGGUGGAGGGGACGCGCCUAAGCAGCUCCGGCGCCGGUCUACUCCGCUCCGAAGCCCGCCGCCGUUCUACUGUACGAAGCCCACCACCGAUCUGCUAUUUCAACUCCAUUCGUAUUGAUUUCUCUGCAAAUCUGCUACGGGAUUGUAUGAUUUUUCUGAUUCAAUUAGUACGUCGAUUAGUUCAGUCCGAUUGUUGGUUUGGAGUAUCAUCCUAUCGAUUGAUGGACAAACCAACAGGCAAUUUGGUUCGUAGCCAUGGUCUCGCUUGUAGCUCUGCGCAUAACUUUUGUAAUUGAUAGAUUAUUGUAUUGCUUACAAUGACCAGUAAAUGUUUUAUUCCCCUAAAGUGUGACCAGUACAUAAUUUCCGUUUCAUAUUGGCUUGUAGCCACGAAUCCACCAUGCUCUUCCUAUCACUGCAAUAGCUAGCAUGCAUGCUAUGCACACUCAAGGUUCUCCUGUUUGAGGCUGCUCCCAGCAUCAUAUCAAUCAGCUAGCGUGAUAUCCCUUUUGUGGAUUGUAUUCAUACGUGGAAAAAUACCUAGUUGUCAUUAAUUAAUUUCUACUCCUGUAGUGGUAACAUCAUAUAGCAUGUCUCAUAAAGGCUUGACAAUGGAAAAGUGGAGUACUUAAGUCAUCGCCUACAGCUUACCGAUAAUAGGGUCCUUGCUAACAUGCAGAAAUGCUGAGCAGAUUGCCCUGUCUUCCUCGUGGGUGAACGACCUUCCUCGCUGGGCAAGCCUCUUCUUCCCCUUUCUGUUUGAGACUUGGGUUCCAUCGACCUCUUCAACCUCUGGGUCCUCGGUGGGAGCAAGAGGAAAUGAUGCAUUGACAAGAGAACUUGCAGGCUGAGAUGGUACGCCCAUGUUAUGCAUUGAUCCACUAAAUGCACCGUUAAGGUUGUACUGAAAAAAACAGAGAUGUGAUUAGUGAAACAUUUAAAGUACGAUAUGCAAAAUCCAAAAGGAAGGAAACAUACCUUCUCAAGUUCCCUUAUGGUUGAUGGCAGAGGUAACGACAACUCAUUGGAAUUGUCACCUCCUUGAGACGGACCACCCUGAAACAUGUAACCAUUGAAUUGGUUGUCCAUCCUGGAAUAAUGA